UAAGCCAUGCGAGUCGAGAGGGUUCGGCCCUCGGCGUACUGCUCAGUAACACGUGGAUAACCUGCCCUAGGGAAGGGGAUAAUCCCGGGAAACUGGGGAUAAUACCCUAUAGGUUACAGAUGCUGGAAUGCUCUGUAAUCAAAAGUUCCGGCGCCCUAGGAUGGAUCUGCGGCCGAUUAGGUUGUUGUUGGGGUAAUGGCCCAACAAGCCAGUAAUCGGUACGGGUUGUGGGAGCAAGAGCCCGGAGUUGGAUUCUGAGACACGAAUCCAGGCCCUACGGGGCGCAGCAGGCGCGAAAACUUUACAAUGCGGGCAACCGUGAUAAGGGAACCUCGAGUGCCUGUAAAUGCAGGCUGUUCAGAUGCCUAAAACACAUCUGGAGAAAGGGCCGGGCAAGACCGGUGCCAGCCGCCGCGGUAACACCGGCGGCCCGAGUGGUGACCGUUAUUAUUGGGUCUAAAGGGUCCGUAGCCGGUUUGGUCAGUCCUCCGGGAAAUCUGAUAGCUUAACUGUUAGGCUUUCGGGGGAUACUGCCAGGCUUGGAACCGGGAGAGGUAAGAGGUACUACAGGGGUAGGAGUGAAAUCUUGUAAUCCCUGUGAGACCACCUGUGGCGAAGGCGUCUUACCAGAACGGGUUCGACGGUGAGGGACGAAAGCUGGGGGCACGAACCGGAUUAGAUACCCGGGUAGUCCCAGCCGUAAACUAUGCUCGCUAGGUGUCAGGCAUGGCGCGACCGUGUCUGGUGCCGCAGGGAAGCCGUGAAGCGAGCCACCUGGGAAGUACGGCCGCAAGGCUGAAACUUAAAGGAAUUGGCGGGGGAGCACAACAACGGGUGGAGCCUGCGGUUUAAUUGGACUCAACGCCGGACAACUCACCGGGGACGACAGCAAUAUGUAGGCCAGGCUGAAGACCUUGCCUGAAUCGCUGAGAGGAGGUGCUUGGCCGUCGCCAGUUCGUACUGUGAAGCAUCCUGUUAAGUCAGGCAACGAGCGAGACCCA
rnacentral:rRNA from 1 species